AAGGAAAAAGAGGCUGCAGUGUCACAGGCUGGAUCACAAUAGAAUUUGGUUUGCUGUUAUCCGAUUACAAGCGUCCUGAGAGGCUUUCACGGGCCCAUCCAUCAAGACUAAGGGGUUGAGGGAAAGCCUCGACAAUGCUGCUGCAGGGAUGUAAAGCACUGAAGGAUUCAUGGUUAUUAAAAGCAUCACCGUGUGAGGAGAGGAUCUCCUAAGCCUGGAUCUGGCAUUGCUUUGGAGUGCCGUUUGGUGACUGGAGGUAUAGAGCGGUGUCGGGAGGAUCAUCACUGGCUCUCUCCCAGGGAGAUGAGCAGCAUAGGCCAAUUUCAUAUGCGGGGCUCGGCCCCUGGGUCUGAGUGGAGGUGGGCUGGGUCCACCCAGUAUCCUGGCUUCAUUAAUCAUCCCGCCAAGGCUUACCGGCAAACCCCCUCUCCGCCCUCUCCUAGACAACCCCUCGGAUUACACAGAGCCAGCGAAAUGUCAGCCCAAAUCUGAGUCUUGAUGCAGAUAAUCAUUUCAAUAAUAUUUCUCCAUUUGUGCCCCUGAUGCCAGGGGAAUAAAGCUUUUCCACUGUCAGGUAGCAUAAGACUACAGUUGGUGGGAAUACUUGACUCUGAGCCAGAUGGCUUAGCCAUGCUUGCAGCAUAUGUUCAACAAGCAGUCCUGUGCCAAGCACGCAUUAGGUUUUUAUUAAUUUGAAGCAGGCAGGAAUGCAUACGUAUAUAUUUACGUGAUCCCCCCCCCCCCCCCCCCCACUCCUCAACCCCAGA